GAUCAUGGCUCAGGAUAAACGCUGGCGGCGCACAUAAGACAUGCAAGUCGAACGGACUUAACCAUUAGUUUACUAUUGGAGCGGUUAGUGGCGGACUGGUGAGUAACACGUAAGCAACCUGCCUAUCAGAGGGGAACAACAGUUAGAAAUGACUGCUAAUACCGCAUAUGCCUUAGAAUCACAUGAUUCAAAAGGGAAAGAAGCAAUUCGCUGAUAGAUGGGCUUGCGU
rnacentral:rRNA from 1 species